rnacentral:rRNA from 1 species
UGGGGAAUAUUGGACAAUGGGCGCAAGCCUGAUCCAGCCAUGCCGCGUGGGUGAUGAAGGCCUUAGGGUUGUAAAGCCCUUUCGGCGGGGAGGAUAAUGACGGUACCCGCAGAAGAAGCCCCGGCUAACUUCGUGCCAGCAGCCGCGGUAAUACGAAGGGGGUUAGCGUUGCUCGGAAUCACUGGGCGUAAAGCGCGCGUAGGCGGGUCGCUAAGUCAGGGGUGAAAUCCUGGAGCUCAACUCCAGAACUGCCUUUGAUACUGGCGACCUUGAGUCCGGGAGAGGUGAGUGGAAUUGCGAGUGUAGAGGUGAAAUUCGUAGAUAUUGGGUGGAACACCGGUGGCGAAAGCGGCUCUCUGGUCCGGACCUGACGCUGAGGCGCGAAAGCGUGGGGAGCAAACAGGAUUAGAUACCCCUGUAGUCC